rnacentral:rRNA from 1 species
CGGAGUAACGCGUAUGCAACUUGUCCUCUCAGGAGGGGAGAACCCGGCGAAAGUACGGACUAAUACCGCAUGAAGCAGGGGCCCCCGGCCAUGGGGAUAUUUGCUAAAGAUUCAUCGCUGAUAGAUAGGCAUGCGUUCCAUUAGCUAGUUGGUGGGGUAACGGCCUACCAAGGCGACGAUCAGUAGCCGACCUGAGAGGGUGACCGGCCACAUUGGGACUGAGACACGGCCCAA